UCAGUUCGGAUUGGAGUCUGNAACCCGACUCCAUGAAGCUGGAUUCGCUAGUAAUCGCGCAUCAGCCACGGCGCGGUGAAUACGUUCCCGGGCCUUGUACACACCGCCCGUCAAGCCAUGGAAGCCGGGAGUGCCUGAAGUGCGUGAGCGCAAGCAGCGCCCUAAGGUAAAAACCGGUGACUGGGGCUAAGUCGUAACAAGGUACC
rnacentral:rRNA from 1 species